CCCGCUGAACUUAAGCAUAUCAAUAAGCGGAGGAAAAGAAACUAACAAGGAUUCCCCUAGUAACUGCGAGUGAAGCGGGAAAAGCUCAAAUUUAAAAUCUGGCGGUCUCGCAGCCGUCCGAGUUGUAAUCUGGAGAAGCGUUUAUCCGCGUCGGACCGUGUACAAGUCUUCUGGAAGGGAGCGUCAUAGAGGGUGAGAAUCCCGUCUUUGACACGGACAACCGAUGCUUUUGUGAUGCGCUCUCGAAGAGUCGAGUUGUUUGGGAAUGCAGCUCAAAAUGGGUGGUAAAUUCCAUCUAAGCUAAAUAUUGGCGAGAGACCGAUAGCGAACAAGUACCGUGAGGGAAAGAUGAAAAGAACUUUGGAAAGAGAGUUAAACAGUACGUGAAAUUGCUGAAAGGGAAACGCUUGAAGUCAGUCGCGUCGUCCAGGGAUCAACCUUGCUUUUGCCUGGUGCACUUCCUGGUUUGAUGGGUCAGCAUCAAUUUUGAUCAUUGGAAAAAGGCUAAGGGAAUGUGGCAUCUUUGGAUGUGUUAUAGCCCUUGGUCACAUACAAUGGUUGGGAUUGAGGAACUCAGCACGCCGCAAGGCCGGGUUUUAAACCACGUACGUGCUUAGGAUGCUGGCAAUAUGGCUUUAAUCGACCCGUCUUGAAACACGG
rnacentral:rRNA from 1 species